GGUGGCGAUAGUGCGCAAUUUGUCGAACGCAAACUGCCCAUAAACAAAAGCAAAAAAGAAGAAGAAGCAGAAGAAGAAGAAGAAGAAGAAGAAAGUUUUCGACAACGCUUCCAGGACAACAAAAGGCAAGUUCGUCUCAAGAUUUCUUACAUUGUGUUUAGACUGAAAUGGGACCAUGUCAGAUUCUGAACACUGGGCACACAGUGAGCUCUUUUGUUCUUAAAUUACAUAUGUGAAGUGAUUCGAAUAGCUCCAUUUAUUUGUAAUGAAAUAAGUAUUAAGUCAGUUACUGAGAUUUUGUUUCUUAUAGCUGACUAAAUGUCUGGAUUAUUAUAUUUACUUGAUAUAUAUGUAUGUGCUUCACUGUUUCUUAAAUUAUUAAGGUGGAACCCACAGACAAGGGAGGUUGAGAGAAAUUGUGUGCCACAGAUGUCUAUUCAACCUGUUGAUGGUGCUGAGGCUGUGUACCAUGCAUAACCCAACUGAUGCUCCCACACACAAAGAAUAGGAGCAGUUAAGGAUACCAAAAUGUCCUGAAGCUGGCCUAGUCCCUCUUUAGAAAUUACAAACCUGCAGAGGCUUCAGUACAAGAGUGUACACAAGCAGUUGCACUGUGUUCAGUCAUCCCUCAGAUUGCAUUGCUAUCAGAAAGGCAAUGUUGAGCAGCCUUGAGACAGAGACCUUUGUCCCAUUGGUUCUCUCACAGGCAAGUGAAGAGUGCUCGAGUAGGGAAGUGGGCUGAUAUAAUUUUUGGCUCUGAGGAUCUGCUAUCAGGGUCUGCCCCCUUUGCCACGUUUCCAGUGUCAUCAACCAACUGUUUUCUUCCUUGACCAGCUACACCACUGGGUAUUACAGUCCACCACUCCACUACCGCACACCUAUCUCCUCUUCCAGGACUGUGUGUAUGCUCAGGACCACAACUUGUAGCAACAUGAAGACAGCUGUAGCUGCUGCUGCUGCGGGGGCUUUCCAGGAACAAACUUGGUCAGCAGCCGACACUAUACAGCUGGAUUAAGCAUGGCCAGCCAAACACAAUCGAGAAUGGCUAUACAUGCAUAGCCAGUAUGCCAUCCUGUGAUGAUGUUAGUUAAACAAAGCCAAGGCAACCACAGGCAAAUUAAUGGACUGUAUUAUAUUAAGUGGUAUUUAAUUACAUUAUAGUGUAUGUCGUUUAAUUUUUUGUAUUGUGUUUAACUAGUCCUAUGUCUAAAGCAUUAUACACAUAUGUGCCUUUGCUACUCAGUAUUUAGGCAAUUAAUGAAGUCUACUUUGUGAUUUAUUAACUGGUUUUAUUAAUCCUGUGAACUGUUUUUAAAUAAAUCAUUUUUUUGGGCAAUGAAAAAAA